rnacentral:rRNA from 1 species
GAGUUUGAUCUUGGCUCAGGAUGAACGCUGGCGGCGUGCCUAAUACAUGCAAGUCGAGCGAACGGACGAGAAGCUUGCUUCUCUGAUGUUAGAGGCGGACGGGUGAGUAACACGUGGAUAACCUACCUAUAAGACUGGGAUAACUUCGGGAAACCGGAGCUAAUACCGGGAUAAUAUUCUGAACCGCAUGGUUCAAAGUAAAAGCGGUCUUGCUGUCACUUAUAGAUGGAUCCG